rnacentral:antisense_RNA from 1 species
ACGUCACUUCCGACUAGUGGAGUUUUUAGCCUUUUAACAUUCAAGGAUUAGGUAAGUUCUUCCCGCGGUAGACUUCAAAUACUCUUUGUCCUGCCCCUGCUUGGCGAAAUUUACCGAAAUUAUCUACCUAUCCCGCUGGAGUGGGAGCCGGGGGAGAGCUGGAACCGCGUCUCUGCUGCUCACCUUUGUGUCCUUAGCUCCUUCGCAUGGGGUCCGACCGCAACACGUGCGCUGGAUAAACGCUUGUUAACUGGAGCUCCCUCUUUGCCCACUAGCAGGGCAUUAGCUGGUGCUGAAGACAGUGGCUGCUUGGCGAGCCUGGAUCUCCAAGUGACUCCAAGUGACCCCCUCAGCAACUCCUGAUGAACAGGGACUUGCACUUAGGAAUCUGUUACAGUGAGCACAGAAGCAGACCUGUGGGCUCAUAGUCUUCACCCCCCACCCAUAUAUACAAGAUGAACAGAGUGGAGGUUAAACAACUUGACUAAACACAGUUCAUGGUAAAGCCCAAGACUGUACCUGCCCGUCCACUGCCUUUUCCAUGUAUCCUGGAACUGAGCAUAGAC